rnacentral:rRNA from 1 species
UGCAAGUCGAGCGGUAGCAGGUCCUUCGGGAUGCUGACGAGCGGCGGACGGGUGAGUAAUGCAUAGGAAUCUACCCGGUAGUGGGGGAUAACCUGGGGAAACUCAGGCUAAUACCGCAUACGUCCUACGGGAGAAAGGGGGCUCCGGCUCCCGCUAUCGGAUGAGCCUAUGUCGGAUUAGCUGGUUGGUGAGGUAAUGGCUCACCAAGGCAACGAUCCGUAGCUGGUCUGAGAGGAUGAUCAGCCACAUCGGGACUGAGACACGGCCCGAACUCCUACGGGAGGCAGCAGUGGGGAAUAUUGGACAAUGGGGGCAACCCUGAUCCAGCCAUGCCGCGUGUGUGAAGAAGGCCCUCGGGUUGUAAAGCACUUUCAGCGAGGAAGAACGCCUAGCGGUUAAUACCCGUUAGGAGAGACAUCACUCGCAGAAGAAGCACCGGCUAACUCCGUGCCAGCAGCCGCGGUAAUACGGAGGGUGCAAGCGUUAAUCGGAAUUACUGGGCGUAAAGCGCGCGUAGGUGGCUUGAUAAGCCGGUUGUGAAAGCCCCGGGCUCAACCUGGGAACGGCAUCCGGAACUGUCAGGCUAGAGUACAGGAGAGGAAGGUAGAAUUCCCGGUGUAGCGGUGAAAUGCGUAGAGAUCGGGAGGAAUACCAGUGGCGAAGGCGGCCUUCUGGACUGAUACUGACACUGAGGUGCGAAAGCGUGGGUAGCAAACAGGAUUAGAUACCCUGGUAGUCCACGCCGUAAACGAUGUCGACCAGCCGUUGGGUGCCUAGAGCACUUU